UUACAGGUGGCUCAGAUGGUAAAGCAUCUGCCUGCAAUGCAGGAGACCCAGUUUCAAUCCCUGGGUUGGGAA
rfam:TPA: Bos taurus chromosome 10, whole genome shotgun sequence.